GGAUAACGUUUGGAAACGAACGCUAAUACCGCAUGAUAUUAUUGAGCUGCAUGGCUUGAUAAUCAAAGGAGCAAUCCGCUGAAAGAUGGGCUCGCGUCCGAUUAGGUAGUUGGCGGGGCAACGGCCCACCAAGCCGACGAUCGGUAGCCGGACUGAGAGGUUGAACGGCCACAUUGGGACUGAGACACGGCCCAGACUCCUACGGGAGGCAGCAGUGAGGGAUAUUGGUCAAUGGGGGAAACCCUGAACCAGCAACGCCGCGUGAGGGAAGACGGUUUUCGGAUUGUAAACCUCUGUCCUCUGUGAAGUUAAUGACGGUAGCAGAGGAGGAAGCUCCGGCUAACUACGUGCCAGCAGCCGCGGUAGUACGUAGGGAGCAAGCGUUGUCCGGAUUUACUGGGUGUAAAGGGUGCGUAGGCGGCUUUGCAAGUCAGAAGUGAAAUCCAUGGGCUUAACCCAUGAACUGCUUUUGAAACUGCAGAGCUUGAGUGGAGUAGAGGUAGGCGGAAUUCCCGGUGUAGCGGUGAAAUGCGUAGAGAUCGGGAGGAACACCAGUGGCGAAGGCGGCCUGCUGGGCUCUAACUGACGCUGAGGCACGAAAGCGUGGGUAGCAAACAGGAUUAGAUACCCUGGUAGUCCACGCUGUAAACGAUGAUUACUAGGUGUGGGUGGACUGACCCCAUCCGUGCCGGA
rnacentral:rRNA from 1 species